CUGACACAGGGAGGUAGUGACAAUAAAUAACAAUGCCGGGCUCAUAUGAGUCUGGCAAUUGGAAUGAGAACAAUUUAAAUCCCUUAUCGAGGAUCAAUUGGAGGGCAAGUCUGGUGCCAGCAGCCGCGGUAAUUCCAGCUCCAAUAGCGUAUAUUAAAGUUGUUGCAGUUAAAAAGCUCGUAGUUGGAUUUCUAACGGAUGCGACUGGUCUGCCCCGCGAGGGGUUUGCACUGAGUUCGUCGUCUGUUAUCCUUGGAGAGAGCGGCUCUGGCAUUCAGUUGUCGGGGUCGGGAUCCCCAUCGUUUACUGUGAAAAAUUUGAGUGUUCAAAGCAAGCUUAGGCUCUGAAUAUAUUAGCAUGGAAUAAUAAGAUAGGACCUUGGUGGUUUAUUUUGUUGGUUUGCACGCCGAGGUAAUGAUUAAUAGGGAUAGUUGGGGGUAUUCGUAUUCAAUUGUCAGAGGUGAAAUUCUUGGAUUUAUGGAAGACGAACUACUGCG
rnacentral:rRNA from 1 species